rnacentral:rRNA from 1 species
UACGGGGGGAGCAAGCGGUUGUUCGGAUUUACUGGGCGUAAAGGGCGCGUAGGCGGCCAGCACAAGUCAGUUGUGAAAUCUCCGAGCUUAACUCGGAAAUGUCAACUGAUACUGUGCGGCUAGAGUGCAGAAGGGGCAACUGGAAUUCUUGGUGUAGCGGUGAAAUGACGUAGAUAGUCAAGAGGAACACCUGCGGCGAAGGCGGGUUGCUGGGCUGACACUGACCGUGGAGGCGCGAAAGCUAGGGGAGCGAACGGGG